UCCCAGCUGGCUCAGUGGUAAAGAAUUUGCCUGUAAUGCAGAAGAACCCAGGUUCAAUCCCUGGGUCAGGAA